UACGAAGGGGGCGAGCGUUGUUCGGAAUUACUGGGCGUAAAGGGCGCGUAGGCGGCCGAGCAAGUUAGAUGUGAAAGUCCUGGGCUUAACCUGGGGACUGCAUUUGAUACUGCUUGGCUUGAAUUCGGGAGAGGAUAGCGGAAUUCCCAGUGUAGAGGUGAAAUUCGUAGAUAUCGGGAGGAACACCGGUGGCGAAGGCGGCGACCUGGGUAGAUACUGACGCUGAGGCGCGAAAGCGUGGGGAGCAAACAGG
rnacentral:rRNA from 1 species